AAUAGAAAGAAAAUGCCAGCGUCAUCCCUAACCAAAGAUUCUAAUUGAAUUUGCCUGGGAUGGUCUCAGACCAAUAGGACAUUCUCCAGGUGAUUCUUCUGUGCAGUUAGGGUUGAGAGCCUCUGGUCUCAGAGAUUCUAAACUCUCUCUUAGAAAGAAAAGUCUUUCCGUCCUCUCCUUUUGCCCUGACCACAGGGUGUGUAGGCAGGGAGUAGGCUGUGGACGGCCCCUCCAGGACCUGUGUCUAAGUCAUUGCUGCCUUGGCUGCUGCAGGGUGGCAGCUUGGGGUCAGGGAAAAUUGACUUUAAGUCUGGGCUUGAGUCCAGCCUCUACCUGAGCAUGUGAUAUUGGGUAGGUGACUUCACCUGACCAGACUUCCGAAUCCCUCAUCCGUGAAAUGGGGAUAGCAAUAUCAUAGGGUUUUUGUGACUAUUAAAAGAUAUAAUGGAGGUGAAAUGCUUAGCUCAGUGUCUGACACAUAAGAGGUCCUCAAUAACAGCCCAUUAAAAGCUCAACCCCUCUUCUGCUCUUGGAUUGUUUUGCCAUUAUAUAUGGAAUCUGGAGGCAUUCGUUUCCCCCAGUCUCUGGGGGCUACUGAUGGGUACAUGUUGAAUCUCAACAAUAACCCUAAGAGGAAAGAUGUUCAGGUCUCACUAUCCCUCUUCUACAGGUGAGAAAAGUGCACUUUGGAGACACUGAGACCCUUGCCCCGGCCCUCUCACAGGUCCAGGCACCAGUCCAGGGCUCAUUCCUCUUCGUCCUCACCAGUCCCUUACUCUGCCUGAAUGCCAAGAAAUUGCACCACCUCUGCUGCCCAGAGCUUGAAAAUGUCAGGAUUUGUGGGGGAAGCUAGAAGGAAAUGGCACAGGCUAGAAAGCGAGAAAGGAGAGAGGGUGGGUGCGGAGCAGGAAAGCACCCGUGUCCUUGGAGUCAGAGGAGGGGCCAGUCGGGAGCUGAAGAUGUUCCCGGUGUCUGGGGGUGGGAAGUGGGAUGACUCACAGCCUGUCAGUGACCAGGAUCCGAGACCUGGCUUCCGGGCGAAGAUCUGCUUCAACUCUGUGACCUCUGCAGAUGGCUUCCCCUUUCAGGGCCUCAGCUUUCUGACCUGUCAUGUGGGCAUAUGAGAUUACAUCACUGUUUUUCAAGCUGCCAGUUGCCAUCCAUUAGCAAGUUGUGAAAUGAGUUUAGUGAACUAUAAGCAGCCAUUGAGAAAAAACAAAAAGCAGAAGAGAAAAUAUCAGAUUACACUGAUACAUAGUAAGCAUUAGCCCUGUGAAACCUUGUGUCAGUUCCAGAUCUACGUAUCUACGUGUGUAAAGACUAUUAGAUAGAUUUCUUGAUUUGGCCUCUCUCAAUAGAGUUCAAAAACCACUCAGCUAGAUAUCUUUUAGAAUUUUUUUUUUUGAGACAGAAUCUCUCUGUCACCCAGGCAGGAGUAUAGUGGCGCAAUCUCGGCUCACUGUGAACUUCACCUCCUGGGUUCAAGUGAUUCUCCUGCCUCAGCCUCCAAGUAACUGAAACUAAAGGCAUGCAUCACCAGGCCCGGCUAAUUUUUGUAUUUUUAAUAGAGAUGCGGUUUCACCAUGUUGGCCAGGCUGGUCUUGAACUCCUGACCUCAGGUGAUCUACCUGCCUUGGCCUCUCAAAAUGCUGGGAUUACAGGCCCAGCCAUGUUUUAGCAUUUCUAUCAGCCCUCAUUAAACUCUAGACUUUUGUAAGAUAAAAAUGCAUCUAGGUCUAGAGAAAAUAUGUGGGAAGUAGAGUCUGGGUGGAGGCUAGGGAUAGUACCAGCCACUGGAGUAGCAUCACUCCAUGUUGGGCCCCCUGUAAUCCCCUCUGUGGGGUGGUCCUCCCUGGAAUAGGAGAUGAGAGCUCCAUCACACACCCGGUGACCAAGUCAUUCUCACCUGCCUGCUGCAGGUGAUUUGAUUACAGAGCCAGGCUAGUAAGAAUUGGGACAGCUGACUAGCAACUUCCCUUUCACAGUCCAGAGUGUUUCUCUAUGCUUUUCACAUGGCCCCUGCCAAAGAGGGACCACAGAAUAAAUGGGCAGGGGUUACAUUAACAUACUUGCGAUUAUGUUUGGCUGUGAUUGACAGUGAAUCCCCCAAAACAAUGGCUUCGAAAAAUAAGACAGAAGUGUCCUUCUUCCUUACAUGAGCGACCUGGAUGCAGGCAGUUCUGGGCAGGCCAAGUGACUGGGAGGUGGCACCAUUCUCAGGACCCAGCUCUGUCCAGUCUCUGCCCCACCAUCGCUAGGGUACGUACGGCCCUGCAUGGUCUGAGAUGGCUGCUAGAGCCUUGUCCAUGUCACACCCACACUCCAGGCAGCAGGAUGGAACAAGAGGUAGAAAACAGGCAAAGGGCAUUUGCCCACUGUUUUUACAAAGAGGUUUCUAGAAAGAAAAAUUGAAAACAGGUAUUCAAACAAACAUUUGCAUGUACACGUUCAUAGCAGCACUACUCACAGUAGCUGAAAGGUCGGGCGGACCCAGAUGUCCAUCAGCUGAUGAAUGCAUCAAUGAACCGCGGAAUAUUGAUUUAACAGACUAUCAUUCAGCCAUAAGAAAAGAAUGACCUACUGAUGUGUCCUCCAACAUGACUAAGCCCUGAAAACAUUGCACUAAGUAAAAUAACUCAGACCC